rnacentral:lncRNA from 1 species
AAGAACAAAGUUUUGUCCAUCUUUGUUCAUCAUAGCUGAAAGUUAGAGAAGAGAAAGGAGAGGAGAAAGCUCUUGAGUAUUCGGUCAUUAGGAGGAGGAAAAUUGAAGGUAAGUUCUUGGUACCUUGCUUCUAUUUUGAGGUUCAUGAGUUCUUCUUGAUUCUACCUUAAAUCUUGAAGUAUAUUUUGAUUUUUAGUUGUGUUGUGAGCAUUUAGUCAUGAAUUAAAAUGAAGGAAAUGGUUGUUGUUUCAUGUUCUUUUGAUGAAAAAUGGAAGAUAGGUGAAGUUGAGCCAAACAAAUGAGCAUGCAUGUGCCUUAGAUGUUAAAGGGAAAAAUCAGCUAACAUGUUGUGCUUUAAAAUGAUGAAAUGGAGAUUAUACUUAAGUAAAAUCAUAGAUAUGUGAUGAUUGAUUGGUGAUAUACAUGUUUAAAUAACAUGCAUGCAAGGUAUGUGUGAAAGAGUGAUUUGGUAAUAAAUCUGCUUAGAACAGCAGCAGUAACGUGACUUUGGAAAAUCACCAUAAAUUGUGGGAGAUGAAUUAGAAUCUGAAUAAAUUAUGUAAUUAAAUCUUAUUGAGUCUAGUUUCUAAUGAAAUAAACGAAAACAUAUUUUGAAUUCUGUACAAUGAGAAAUUUGAUUCGUAAUGAAGAGUGGUCAGAUUAGUCAAACAGUGAAACAUGUGAAACUUUGAGAAAAAUCUGGUAUUGAUUGGACAAACCAAAAAUUCUGAAAAUUUUAUGGAUAGAAGAUAUAUGAGUCUAUUUUCAAGGAAAAUUAACGGAACUUGAUUUGGAGUUUUGUAGCUCCAGUUAUAAAUGAUUUAGUGACUGUUGCUCAGGAAGACAGCUUGCAGUGAAAUUAUGAUUAUGUGGUAAACAUUGACAAAAAUUUGUUAAUGAGUUGCUUAUUGAUUUCUUAUAAGCUUACUAUGAUCUGUAGGUGUGGUUGGCCGAAUAUUGUAAGGGGUUAAUACGUAGUUUGUAUUUGAAUAGUUAGAUUAACGUGUUAGUAAUCGAAUUGUAGGCGGUUCGUGUGUGGAUCUCGUCAGCAUAUCGUCGCAAACAGGUGUGUAACUGACACCCUCUCAUAGACUAGAUUGGCAAAAGCUGAAAAGCCGAAAUGCCGAAAAGUCGGUAUUUUGGGAAUUUGCGAGUGUGCGAAUGCUCGUAAAAUAGUUGGGUUUGUAUAUUUGGUAAUCUAAAGUAAUAAACUGCAGUACGCGCGAUUUCGUACAUUUUGAUAAUUUGGGCUUAAUGGGCCAAAGAUCGGG